AUGACUAGGGAUAACCUUAGGAAGAGACACAUCAUCAAACCCCUUGAUUGUGUUUACUGCUUGGAACAAGAGUAUUGUUCUCACCUAUUUUUUGAAUGUAUAGUUGCUAAACAUCUUUGGGCCCACAUUGAGGAAUAUUUCUCUAGUCAGAUUGGCUCAUCCUUCGAAUCUGUCGCCAGAUUCUGGAUUGCUACCAAAAAGUGCUCGGUUUUAAACACUGUUAGCUUAGCUGUCCUUUGGUGCCUCUGGAAAUAUAGAAAUGCUAUGAUUUUCAGUAACACCUCCUGGAUUUCCAUUCCGCAUGUCUUGAGGUUGAUCAGGAACAUGGUGAGGAACUGGGUGAUUCUCUCCUCCGGAUCGGACAAGGACAAGUUGAUGAGCUUCAUGGAAACCCUAACAAGAUCCCUCCUGUCAGAUUUCGGGUUCCGGCAGACCCUUGAGGUUCGAACACUGGGGUGCGCGCGGAGAUUUCGCCUCCUACCUACCUGCACCCCUCCGCCAUGCUAG
rnacentral:rRNA from 1 species